rnacentral:piRNA from 1 species
UAGAAGAUGCCUGUUCGUGUCAGCAGUC